rnacentral:rRNA from 1 species
ACUCAAAUGAAUAGACGGGGGCCCGCACAAGCGGUGGAGCAUGUGGUUUAAUUCGAUGCAACGCGAAGAACCUUACCUACCCUUGACAUACAGUAGAUUUUGCAGAGAUGCAUUAGUGCCUUCGGGAAUACUGAUACAGGUGCUGCAUGGCUGUCGUCAGCUCGUGUCGUGAGAUGUUGGGUUAAGUCCCGUAACGAGCGCAACCCUUAUCCUUAGUUACCAGCACGUAAAGGUGGGAACUCUAAGGAGACUGCCGGUGACAAACCGGAGGAAGGCGGGGACGACGUCAAGUCAUCAUGGCCCUUACGGGUAGGGCUACACACGUGCUACAAUGGCCGGUACAAAGGGCAGCGAAGGGGCGACCUGGAGCGAAUCUUAAAAAGCCGGUCGUAGUCCGGAUUGGAGUCUGCAACUCGACUCCAUGAAGUCGGAAUCGCUAGUAAUCGUGAAUCAGCAUGUCACGGUGAAUACGUUCCCGGGCCUUGCACACACCGCCCGU